rnacentral:rRNA from 1 species
UACGAAGGUGGCAAGCGUUGUUCGGAUUUACUGGGCGUACAGGGAGCGUAGGCGGUUGGAUAAGCCCUCCGUGAAAUCUCCAGGCUUAACCUGGGAAGUGCAGAGGGGACUGUUCAGCUAGAGGACGGGAGAGGAGCGCGGAAUUCCCGGUGUAGCGGUGAAAUGCGUAGAGAUCGGGAGGAAGGCCGGUGGCGAAGGCGGCGCUCUGGAACAUUUCUGACGCUGAGGAGCGAAAGCAUGGGGAGCGAACAGG